rnacentral:tRNA from 1 species
GCCGUUGUAGCUCAGUUGGUAGAGCAACUGAUUCGUAAUCAGUAGGUCGGAGGUUCGACUCCUCUCACCGGCACCA